AGCGUAGACGGAGUGGCAAGUCUGAUGUGAAAACCCGGGGCUCAACCCCGGGACUGCAUUGGAAACUGUCAAUCUGGAGUACCGGAGAGGUAAGCGGAAUUCCUAGUGUAGCGGUGAAAUGCGUAGAUAUUAGGAGGAACACCAGUGGCGAAGGCGGCUUACUGGACGGUAACUGACGUUGAGGCUUGAAAGCGUGGGGAGCAAACA
rnacentral:rRNA from 1 species